rnacentral:misc_RNA from 1 species
ACAAACUUGGUCAUUUAGAGGAAGUAAAAGUCGUAACAAGGUUUCCGUAGGUGAACCUGCGGAAGGAUCAUUAACAAAGGAGAAAUUGUCUCGUUGAGGGUGGGGUGUCAAGCCCCUUCUCUACGCCGACAACCACAAACCCCUUUGAGUCGCAUUGUUGUUUACUUUAUCAGGUUUAUCAAUUGUUUUUGGCAGUCUAGUACGGGGGGAGUGUGUACUCUCUCCGUUACGUACAUCUAGUGAAAUAAAAGCUAGGCGGGGGACUGCCAAAAGUAAAAACAUUUGAUAUACCCAAAACAAACUCUUGCUUAUCUUUUUUAUUGUCUGAAUGUAAAAUUUCUAUAUUUUGCAAAUUAAAAACAACUUUUGACAACGGAUCUCUUGGCUCUCGCAUCGAUGAAGAACGCAGC